rnacentral:lncRNA from 1 species
UGGGACAGUAACCGUAUCCAAUCGUGCGUGAGUAAGAAGAGCAAACUCUUCAUGGACGCAAUGCGUUUUUCAAAAGUGCCAUCCAUGUCAGCAUCCGCUCGGACACAAUUGUGUGCGUUUUAGGAUUUUGUCGGGGUUCACGACGAUCUGGAUUCGCUGUCAUGUGAAAUAAGCCUCCAGUCUAAUAGGCGUGGAAGUUUCGCUCUACAUAAAUGAUUUUCCAGGCGCAAAAGGCGGGCAAACAUCGUGGAUCGGAACUUACCAAGGUGCUUUUUAUCUGCGAAACUUAUUUCAUAUGAGCAAACAAUCCGAAGAAGAUCUGUAAUGUAAGGUAACCGAGUACAAGCUUUUAUAACAAUUAUAUCCAACAACAACUGGAUUUCUGCAACGUCCGUUAGUACCGUCAAAAGCAGUGGAAAAUUGGUCCGAAAAUGCCAGCCAAUUGUGCGAAAUAUUCAUUAAACGAGUGAUUUCCAAGAAUCACAUUUCCCCGACAAUGAAGAGACCUUCAAGAAGCAGUCUUGAGUCGUUCGGAUUCAAUGGGGAUCUUGUGGAUUGUGGCAGUUAGUCGACAAGAACCCCAUUGGCCUGUAAGGGGAUGUUCAGCAGAACGGGUAUCGGGAUCAAGUGCUAGGCGCAAAGCAACUUGCUGACCGUCUGCAGGCAGGAACUGACCUUCCACCAAGUCCUCAGUAAGCUGAAUUCGGCACCAAGCUGCUGGGCCAAAGGAAUACCCGUCAAUAGAUCAAUGGGGAUCUUGUGGAUUUUGGAAUUGAUUUGGUCUCGAUGUAGAGAUCAAUUUAAUUUUCCGAAUCGACUAGGAACCCAGGGUUAUCUAAUGGCGUGACUACGGCGUCGGGAACUUCAACGAAGAUCAAUCAGCAGGACUUUCGAGAUCACAAUGUGAAGCGAACCGGCGAAGAACGAAGACCAGGCGGGUGAAUAAGAAGCAGCCAGAAGAUGCAACAGCACGCAGGCACCAGGUGGGAAUGGGCGCAAAAUUCCGAAGACCUCGACAACACAUGGGGAAGUACCAGAACGGGACUAGUGGAACAACCGGAUGGAUGGAAGAUAUUCAGUCAGACGGAUGAAGAAAGAAAAAACAAUGCUUUAUGGAAACGGGAUGGUUCUGUGGACACGCUCGGGUCUGGAGACUCGAAGACAUGGUUUGGGCGACGGCUACCAGAUGAAUGUGCAGCUUGAAUGAAGACUACCGGAUGGAUCAGACGGAAAACAGCAUCGACGAGAAGAAUUCCUUUGAAGAAUACCGCAAGGCAGGUGAACGGGCUCCAGGAAGCUGCAAUGGGACAUAUUUUGGGCGCAGAUUUGACCUCGCCGGACUAUCCACUCUUCAAGUCUCCAAAACUCCAAGGGGAAGAAACUUGAGCCAGCCAGCCAGCCAGAAGAAAAUGGGACUGAACAACUUGGCCGCUCUUCAAAAAGCCCUUUUUGGCAAACCAAAGCAGGCGCUAACUUGAUGCCGAUGGAAAUACGAGGAUGACCACAAUUAGAAGAAUGGAAGAUUAAGAACUUGGGGAAAACGCGCAGCUUGGUCAGGAGGGCGAGACUAAACUCGUAUCGCCUGCAUGGUAAAAUAAAGCAAUCCCAGACGUCUGGUUGGAGUGCCAUUUCAUAGUGCUUGAGGAUUCGAUCAAAGCAGUGCAAGACGGGCGUUCAUCGCAAUGUGGAAUGCGUACUUCCUGAUACUGACUGGGAUUAUUUAUUAGAUUGUGCAAGAUACAAGUACGGAACUGUCACCUCUUUCAACGGGAACCCACAGCAGAUCGCAUCAAUCAGCAAACCGUUCUCGUCCAGCUAUAUUUUACAUUGUUCAAGAAGACAUCGAUGGUUUUUGGAUGUUUUAUAUUACUAUUCAAUCAAUGGUUGGAAUUAAAUAUUGUUGCGUUUAAAUUUGUGUUUAUGAAUAUAUCUAUCACUUAACACUUGUUUUUUUUUUAUUAAUUUUUCUUGUGUUCAGUGUCUGUUAAUCAAACACAUUAAUGCAGAGAGUCCAUUCAUAAAACCUUAUUUCAGUGACAUUUGCUAGCCGUUUAUUGAAAGCGAACAAACCGCAAUUCCUUUUGUGUACUUUGUAACUACAUAAAGGUAACGCUAUACUCCUGCUCCUGACAUUUGCUCGCAAUCUCCUUCCAACAUUCUGCUCUCCUGAUGCAAAUCGAAACUUUCGUGUGUGCAAAUUUCACCAAUAGAGAGCAUCUGCAUCGACAAGAUAAUAGCGUAACGCUAAACUUCUGCUCCUGAUAUUUGCUCGCCAGCUCCUUAAACAUUCUGCUCUUCUGAUACAAAUCGAAACUUUCAUAUGCUUGUAAAAUUUCGCCAAUAGAGAGCAUUUGCAUCGACAGAUUAAUAGCGUAACGCUAAACUCCUGUUCCUCAUAUUUGAUCGUUAUCUCCUUAAACAUUCUGCUCUCCUGAUACAAAUCGAAACUUUCAUAUGCUUGUAAAAUUUCGCCAAUAGAGAGCAUUUGCAUCUACAGAAUAAUAGCGUAACGCUAAACUCCUUGUUCCUCAUAUUUGUCCGCUACCUCCUUUAACAUUCUGCUCUCCUGAUGCAAAUCGACACUUUUGUGUGUUUGCAAAAUUUCACCAAUAGAGAGCAUCUGAAUCGACAAAAUAAUAGCUUAACGCUAAACUCCUGCUCCUAAUAUUUGCUCGCUACCUCCUUAAACAUUCUGCUCUCUUGAUGCAAAUCGAAACUUUCGUGUGUUUGCAAAAUUUCACCAAUAGGGAGCAUCUGCAUCGACAAAAUAAUAGCGUAACGCUAAACCCCUGCUCCUGAUAUUUGCUCGCUAUCUCCUUAAACAUUCUGCUCUCCUGAUACAAAUCGAAACUUUCAAAUGGUUGUAAAAUUUCGCCAAUAGAGAGCAUUUGCAUCGACAGAAUAAUAGCGUAACGCUAAACUCCUGUUCUCAUAUUUGUCCGCUACCUCCUUUAACAUUCUGCUCUCCUGAUGCAAAUCGAGACUUACGUGCUUGGAAAAUUUCACCAAUAGAGAGCUUUUGCAUCGACAAAAAAUAGCGUAACGUUAAACUCCUGUUCCUGAUUUGUCCGCUACCUCCUUUAACAUUCUGCUCUCCUGAUGCAAAUCGAGACUUUCGUGUGCUUGCAAAUUUCAACAAUAGAGAGCAUUUGCAUCGACAGAAUAAUAGCGUAACGCUAAGCUCCUGUUCCUGAUAUUUGCUCGGUAUCUCCUUAAACAGUCUGCUUUCCUGAUACAAAUCGAAACUUUCGUGUGCCAGCAAAAUUUCGCCAAUAAAGAGUAUUUGCAUCGACAAAAUAUUAGCGUAACGCUAAUGCUCUCCUGAUACAAAUCGAAACUUUCGAGUGCCAUCAAAAUUUCACCAAUAGAGAGCAUUUGCAUCGAUAAAAUAAUAGUGUAAGGCUAAACUCCUGCUCGGAAUAUUUGGUCGGUACCUAGUCAAACAUUCUGCUCUCCUGAUACAAAUCGAAACUUUCGGGUGCCCGCAAAAUUAGAGAGCAUCUGUAUCGAUAAAAUAAUAGCGUAACGCUAAACUCGAUUAGAUAGGAUUAUUGGUAAGAUAAUCUUACGGAGCCCACGAUUAUACUAAGUGAGAUUUCAGCGCAGUUUUUAGGUCUUCAGCUUUAAUUUUUCAAUGAAUAACGGCAUGAGACGAUUUUCCGGUCUCUUAAGCAAUCUUUUGUGCCAUGUAGCGUAUUUAAACUGUAGGCAGAUAUACCUUGCUAUCUCCGCUACGAAGUUGCAUUAAGUGUGGGCGAAAAACAUGUUCAAAUUCCUCAUGUUACAAGCGUGUUUGCUUAGAGUGAGUGUGAGUGAAUGGAUUGAGAUAACUCAAUUUUCCAAUCCGAAUCGUCAUCAGAGUGUCAACUCGAAUACUGCUUCAAACACUACUAUUCCCAGUUUUUAUUUUACCUUGAAUGAUCCCACGGAGCAGACCAAAGAAGCAUCUCGAGUUGAAUCAACGCAUGUUGCGGAUGAUGCAGAGUUAUUGGUGGAAAACGGCCAGCUUGCAGAAGCACCCUCGACAUUCAUAAAUGCCUUAAACAAUAUUCAAAGCCACUUGAUGGAUUUCAAGGGAAAAUCUCUGCAAGUUAAGGUGCAGCACUUGGAAAAGCUGAAGAACGAUCUACUGCACGACAUCAAGCAUCGCAUAUCUGGUUGGUCUUCUGUAGUGGAUGGUCAAGACAAAUUUGAGUCCAGGCUCUACAAGAACUCCUAUUUCGAUGAACAUCACAUGGAUUAUCCCUCAAAUGAAAGUGCCUUGAUGACGAUCGGAUUUUUGACUUUCGCAGUUUUUUUAAUCAAGUUAGUCCUGAAAUUAAUUUACGCC